UACGGGGGGGGCAAGCGUUGUUCGGAAUUACUGGGCGUAAAGGGCUCGUAGGUGGCCAACUAAGUCAGACGUGAAAUCCCUCGGCUUAACCGGGGAACUGCGUCUGAUACUGGAUGGCUUGGAUUUGGGAGAGGGAUGCGGAAUUCCAGGUGUAGCGGUGAAAUGCGUAGAUAUCAGGAGGAACACCAAUUGCGAAGGCAGCACUCUGGGACGUGACUGUCGCUGAGACGCGAAAGCGUGGGGAGCAAACAGG
rnacentral:rRNA from 1 species